rnacentral:rRNA from 1 species
GACGAACGCUGGCGGCGUGCCUAAUACAUGCAAGUAGAACGCUGAAGGAGGAGCUUGCUCUUCUGGAUGAGUUGCGAACGGGUGAGUAACGCGUAGGUAACCUGCCUGGUAGCGGGGGAUAACUAUUGGAAACGAUAGCUAAUACCGCAUAAUAGUAGAUGUUGCAUGAUAUUUACUUAAAAGGUGCAAUUGCACCACUACCAGAUGGACCCGCGUUGUAUUAGCUAGGUGGUGGGGUAACGGCUCACCAAGGCGACGAUACAUAGCCGACCAGAGAGGGUGCGCGGCCACACUGGGACUGGGACACGGCCCAGACUCCUACGGGAGGCAGCAGUCGGGAAUCUUCGGCAAUGGAAGAAAUGCUGACCGAGCAACGACGCGUGAGUGCAGAAGGUUGUCGGAUCGUAAAGCUCAGUUGUAAGAGAAGAACGAGAGGGAGAGUGGAAAGUUCACACUGUGACGGUAUCUUAACAGAAGGGGACGGCUAACUACGUG